UCCGCCGUGGUGUAGUGGUUAGCAUUGGUCGCUUUCAUCUUUGACUCCAUUCGAAUUGAGAAGAAGUGCCGACUAGACCCGGGUUCAAUUCCCGGCGGCGGAA